rnacentral:rRNA from 1 species
AUUGAACGCUGGCGGCAGGCCUAACACAUGCAAGUCGAACGAGUGGCGGACGGGUGAGUAAUGUCUGGGAAACUGCCAGAUGGAGGGGGAUAACUACUGGAAACGGUAGCUAAUACCGCAUACCAUCGGAUGUGCCCAGAUGGGAUGAGCUAGUAGGUGGGGUAACGGCUCACCUAGGCGGCGAUCCGUAACUGGGCUGAGAGGAUGAUCAGUCACACUGGACCGUAGACACAGUCCAGACUCCUACGGGAGGCAUCAGUGGGGAAUAUUGGACAAUGGGCGAAAGCCUGAUCCAGCCAUGCCGAGUGUGUGAAGAAGGUCUUCGGAUUGUAAAGCACGUUAAGUUGGGAGGCGUUACCAACAGAAUAAGCACCGGCUAACUACGUGCCAGCAGCCGCGGUAAUAC